rnacentral:rRNA from 1 species
GCACAAGCGGUGGAGCAUGUGGUUUAAUUCGAUGCAACGCGAAGAACCUUACCUGGCCUUGACAUAGUAAGAACUUUCCAGAGAUGGAUUGGUGCCUUCGGGAACUUACAUACAGGUGCUGCAUGGCUGUCGUCAGCUCGUGUCGUGAGGUGUUGGGUUAAGUCCCGCAACGAGCGCAACCCUUUUCCUUAUUUGCCAGCGAGUAAUGUCGGGAACUUUAAGGAUACUGCCAGUGACAAACUGGAGGAAGGCGGGGACGACGUCAAGUCAUCAUGGCCCUUACGGCCAGGGCUACACACGUGCUACAAUGGUCGGUACAAAGGGUUGCUACACAGCGAUGUGAUGCUAAUCUCAAAAAGCCGAUCGUAGUCCGGAUUGGAGUCUGCAACUCGACUCCAUGAAGUCGGAAUCGCUAGUAAUCGCGGAUCAGAAUGCCGCGGUGAAUACGUUCCCGGGC